rfam:Oikopleura dioica, whole genome shotgun assembly, reference scaffold set, scaffold scaffold_157
CCACCGGCCCUUUUCAGGGCCACAAAUCGAUAUAAUUUUGUUUCAU